rnacentral:rRNA from 1 species
UACGGAGGGUGCCAGCGUUAUCCGGAUUCACUGGGUUUAAAGGGUGCGUAGGCGGGCAGGUAAGUCAGUGGUGAAAUCUCCGAGCUUAACUCGGAAACUGCCGUUGAUACUAUUUGUCUUGAAUAUUGUGGAGGUGAGCGGAAUAUGUCAUGUAGCGGUGAAAUGCUUAGAUAUGACAUAGAACACCAAUUGCGAAGGCAGCUUACUACACAACGAUUGACGCUGAGGCACGAAAGCGUGGGGAUCAAACAGG